rnacentral:rRNA from 1 species
CAACGCCGCGUGGAGGAUGAAGUCCCUUGGGACGUAAACUCCUUUCGAUCGGGACGAUUAUGACUGUACCGGAAGAAGAAGCCCCGGCUAACUUCGUGC